rnacentral:rRNA from 1 species
UACAGAGGUCCCAAGCGUUGUUCGGAUUUACUGGGCGUAAAGGGUGCGUAGGUGGUCGGGUAAGUCUCAUGUGAAAUCUCCAAGCUUAACUUGGAAAUGGCAUGGGAUACUAUUCGGCUAGAGGAUUGGAGGGGGGACUGGAAUUCCCGGUGUAGCAGUGAAAUGCGUAGAUAUCGGGAGGAACACCAGUGGCGAAGGCGAGUCCCUGGGCCGAUACUGACGCUGAGGAGCGAAAGCGUGGGGAGCGAACAGG